AACAUCGCGCACCUGCGGGAACCUGCGGAAGGAUCAUUAAUGAUUGGUGGCUGUUGCUGACUAGUGUUUCUAGUAUGUGCACGCCACACCUUCAAUCCCACUUACACCUGUGCACCUCCUGUAAUAGAUCUAUGUGGAUACGGAGAUAUGAAAGUUUGCGCUCUCGUACUCUGUUGAAGCAGUCUACUACGUUUUUUUACACACACACAAUAGUCAUUGAAUGUAUUUUUUAUUCUUAUG
rnacentral:misc_RNA from 1 species